ensembl:snRNA U1 U1 spliceosomal RNA
GUACUUACCUGGCAAGGGAGAUACCAAGAUUACAAAGGUGGUUUUCCCAGGAUGAGACUUAUCCAUUGUGCUCUGGAUGUGCUGACACCUGUGAUUUCCCCAAAUGUGGGAAAUUCGACUGCAUAAUGUGUGGUAGUGGGGGACUGCGUUUGCACUCUCCUCUA